rnacentral:rRNA from 1 species
UACGUAGGGGGCAAGCGUUGUCCGGAUUUAUUGGGCGUAAAGAGCUCGUAGGCGGUUUGGUAAGUCUGGUGUGAAAUCUCCACGCUCAACGUGGAGGGGCCACCCGAUACUGCCAUGACUGGAGUCCGGUAGAGGAGUGUGGAAUUCCCGGUGUAGCGGUGAAAUGCGCAGAUAUCGGGAGGAACACCAGUGGCGAAGGCGGCACUCUGGGCCGGAACUGACGCUGAGGAGCGAAAGCGUGGGGAGCGAACAGG